rnacentral:rRNA from 1 species
CACGCAGGCGGUCUGCUAAGUCCUAUGUGAAAGCCCGGGGCUCAACCCCGGAAUUGCAUGGGAUACUGGCAGACUGGAGACUGGUAGAGGCUAGCGGAAUUCCUGGUGUAGCGGUGGAAUGCGUAGAUAUCAGGAAGAACACCUGUGGCGAAGGCGGCUAGCUGGGCCAGUUCUGACGCUCAUGUGCGAAAGCGUGGGGAGCAAACAGGAUUAGAUACCCUGGUAGUCC